rnacentral:rRNA from 1 species
GAUGAACGCUAGCGGCAGGCCUAAUACAUGCAAGUCGAGGGGUAGUGGAAGCUUGCUUCCAUGAGACCGGCGCACGGGUGCGUAACGCGUAUGCAACCUACCUCUAUCUGGGGGAUAGCCCGGAGAAAUCCGGAUUAACACCGCAUAAAAUCACAGUACGGCAUCGUACAAUGAUCAAAUAUUUAUAGGAUAGGGAUGGGCAUGCGUGUCAUUAGUUAGUUGGCGGGGUAACGGCCCACCAAGACCACGAUGACUAGGGGAUCUGAGAGGAUGGCCCCCCACACUGGUACUGAGACACGGACCAGACUCCUACGGGAGGCAGCAGU